rnacentral:rRNA from 1 species
UGGGGAAUUUUGGACAAUGGGGGCAACCCUGAUCCAGCAAUGCCGCGUGUGUGAAGAAGGCCUUCGGGUUGUAAAGCACUUUUGUCCGGAAAGAAAACGCCGUGGUUAAUACCCGUGGCGGAUGACGGUACCGGAAGAAUAAGCACCGGCUAACUACGUGCCAGCAGCCGCGGUAAUACGUAGGGUGCAAGCGUUAACCGGAAUUACUGGGCGUAAAGCGUGCGCAGGCGGUCCGCUAAGACAGAUGUGAAAUCCCCGGGCUUAACCUGGGAACUGCAUUUGUGACUGGCGGGCUAGAGUAUGGCAGAGGGGGGUAGAAUUCCACGUGUAGCAGUGAAAUGCGUAGAGAUGUGGAGGAAUACCGAUGGCGAAGGCAGCCCCCUGGGCCAAUACUGACGCUCAUGCACGAAAGCGUGGGGGAGCAAACAGGAUUAGAUACCCUGGUAGUCCACGCCCUAAACGAUGUCAACUAGUUGUCGGGUCUUCAUUGACUUGGUAACGUAGCUAACGCGUGAAGUUGACCGCCUGGGGAGUACGGUCGCAAGAUUAAAACUCAAAUGAAUU